CUAACACAUAAGAUGUGUGAAAACAAAGAGUUGUCAGCUUAAUGAUCUGUGAGUUGUAUGGAGAUAUAAUUGAUAAUAGUAUCUACCCAAAUAUUAUAUUAGGGCUUGUUGAGUACAUUCAAAGUCUUAAUAUAGUAGAUGGGAUCCCAGCCCACUGGGAGUCAAGCAUGGACUCCAUAAAUUUAUGUGAGAGGGUCAUAAAUUUUAUUUAAACAGUGGGAGCAUAAUUAAUUUAAUAAAAGCCCAUGUUAAAUUAAUUAAUGCAUUUUAUAUAUUUUAUUCUUUUCUUUUUCGUCAUUUACAUUUAUAUUGAAUCGUGAGUAACCAUGUGUUUUGAAUGGCAUACUAGAUGCCAACAACCAAACUAUAUUUUCUUAAUUGACACUGCAAUUUGAGAAUUGUUCUUAUGCAUGAGAAAAUUGGUCACGUCCUUGAAUAGCCCUUUCCAGAGAC
rnacentral:lncRNA from 1 species